rnacentral:rRNA from 1 species
GAUGAACGCUGGCGGCGUGCUUAACACAUGCAAGUCGAACGGAAAGGCUCCUGCUUGCAGGGGUACUCGAGUGGCGAACGGGUGAGUAACACGUGGGUGAUCUGCCCUGCACUUCGGGAUAAGCCUGGGAAACUGGGUCUAAUACCGGAUAGGACCACAUUUUGGAUGGUGUGGUGGAAAGUUUUUCGGUGUGGGAUGAGCUCGCGGCCUAUCAGCUUGUUGGUGGGGUAAUGGCCUACCAAGGCGUCGACGGGUAGCCGGCCUGAGAGGGUGUACGGCCACAUUGGGACUGAGAUACGGCCCAGACUCCUACAGGAGGCAGCAGUGGGGAAUAUUGCACAAUGGGCGCAAGCCUGAUGCAGCGACGCCGCGUGGGGGAUGACGGCCUUCGGGUUGUAAACUCCUUUCGCUAGGGACGAAGCGCAAGUGACGGUACCUGGAGAAGAAGCACCGGCUAACUACGUG